rnacentral:rRNA from 1 species
ACGCUGGCGGCGUGCCUAUACAUGCAAGUCGAGCGGAUCUUCAUUAGCUUGCUUUUGAAGAUCAGCGGCGGACGGGUGAGUAACACGUGGGCAACCUGCCUGUAAGACUGGGAUAACUUCGGGAAACCGGAGCUAAUACCGGAUAAUCCUUUCCCUCACAUGAGGGAAAGCUGAAAGACGGUUUCGGCUGUCACUUACAGAUGGGCCCGCGGCGCAUUAGCUAGUUGGUGAGGUAACGGCUCACCAAGGCAACGAUGCGUAGCCGACCUGAGAGGGUGAUCGGCCACACUGGGACUGAGACACGGCCCAGACUCCUACGGGAGGCAGCAGUAGGGAAUCUUCCGCAAUGGACGAAAGUCUGACGGAGCAACGCCGCGUGAACGAUGAAGGCUUUCGGGUCGUAAAGUUCUGUUGUCAGGGAAGAACAAGUACCGGAGUAACUGCCGGUACCUUGACGGUACCUGACCAGAAAGCCACGGCUAACUACGUGCCAGCAGCCGCGGUAAUACGUAGGUGGCAAGCGUUGUCCGGAAUUAUUGGGCGUAAAGCGCGCGCAGGCGGUUCCUUAAGUCUGAUGUGAAAGCCCCCGGCUCAACCGGGGAGGGUCAUUGGAAACUGGGGAACUUGAGUGCAGAAGAGGAGAGCGGAAUUCCACGUGUAGCGGUGAAAUGCGUAGAGAUGUGGAGGAACACCAGUGGCGAAGGCGGCUCUCUGGUCUGUAACUGACGCUGAGGCGCGAAAGCGUGGGGAGCGAACAGGAUUAGAUACCCUGGUAGUCCACGCCGUAAACGAUGAGUGCUAAGUGUUAGAGGGUUUCCGCCCUUUAGUGCUGCAGCAAACGCAUUAAGCACUCCGCCUGGGGAGUACGGCCGCAAGGCUGAAACUCAAAGGAAUUGACGGGGGCCCGCACAAGCGGUGGAGCAUGUGGUUUAAUUC